CGAGCACGCGCGUGUGGCAUAUCAAUAAGCGGAGGAAAAGAAACUAACAAGGAUUCCCCUAGUAACGGCGAGUGAAGCGGGAAGAGCUCAAAUUUGAAAUCUUCAAGGGUUUCCCUUGACGAAUUGUAGUUUAAAGAAGUGUUUUCUGUUAGAGAGGUGGUAAAAGUUCUUUGGAAUAGGACAUCAUAGAGGGUGAGAAUCCCGUAUUUGAUCACUUUCUACUAACGUUGUGAUACACUUUCAAAGAGUCGGAUUGUUUGGGAAUGCAGUCCAAAAUGGGUGGUAAAUUUCAUCUAAAGCUAAAUAUUGGCGAGAGACCGAUAGCGAACAAGUACCGUGAGGGAAAGAUGAAAAGAACUUUGAAAAGAGAGUUAAACAGUACGUGAAAUUGUCAAAAGGGAAGCGUUUGACACCAGUGUUGUUUUUCCGAAAAUCAAUUACGAAUGUUUUAUUUUUGAGGAGUUAUGACUUCAUCGGCUUGCUUCCUUUCUUUACUGAAACUUUCUUAAUGCACUUUUCGGUUAACAAGUCAACAUCAAUUUCUUUUGUUGUAAAAGGGUAUGAGGAAGGUGGCUUUCUUUUCGGAGAAAGUGUUUAUAGCCUUGUGCCUCUGCAAUCGGAGAGAUUGAGGUCUGCAGCGUAGAUCCUUCGGGGUUAGAUACGUUUGUGCUAAGUUAUAGCUUUUCAUAGACAACUUGUUGACUAUGUUUAGUCUUGUAGCUUACUCGCUGACGCUAUUUUACCUACGCUUAGGAUGUUGAGUCAUCACACAUCUCU
rnacentral:rRNA from 1 species